AGCAGCAUACAGCUACACUAAGAUGAUACAAAUAUCCUUUGUCCAACUGGCAAAACAGGGAAAGAGGACCAGGUCAUAAUUUCUUGAACUGGUCUUUUGGGAGACUUGAACCUCUGAGUUCCUGUAGACUGAGCUCCUCAAGGGAAGAACUAAAAUGUGAACCUGCCAGAAAGAAGAGAUUUGGUUGACCAAGGCAUGUCUUAGAGUUUGGUCAAGGGCCCUGCUCACAGGUUUCUACACUUGGACAAAUGCUGAAGAUGGAAAGGCCUUCCCUUAUUUGUUCGGAGAAUUGAAAUAGAACUUUGGUAGGUACUGUCUCACUUAAUUCUCAGAACAACGUUAGAGAUCUCAGUCGACCUUUUCACGUGAGAGAUGUUAAGGCUGAUCCCCCAGAGAGGGGAAAUGACUUGCUAAAAGUAAAUUAACACAAGAGGAAAUGA
rnacentral:lncRNA from 1 species